rnacentral:lncRNA from 1 species
GAAUUCCAUUAUAAUUCUCUCAUUUUGGGUUGUUGAAGGCUAGAAGCUUUUCAAGUUGGUGAAUUUUUCCGGCGAGGUCUUAUAACUGAAAAGGGUCAUUUUCAAUUUGUUUUCCACAACAAUAGCCCUCCAUUAAACCCAAUUUUCAGAAGCUCAUAACCAGUACGAUCAAGAACCCCCAUUUCCAUGUCUCUUUGAAAUUCAUAAUCUAACAUCGGGUGUGUGUUUUCUUGGAUCCAACACCAAGACUGUAAUGGCGUCGUCCAGUGGUUAAGACUUCCGUCUCUUCUUGUGCCGUCAUUACCAAAAUCACGUCCUGUCGUCCAACAACUUCCUUGACCCUCUCUCUCUCUUAUUAUCUUCAUUUUGUUUCUCAAGUGUUUGAUGUAUCAAGCUUCUUGAUUUUACUACCCAGGUUUCAAUUCUUU